ACGGUCUUUUAGUCUCUCUGUUGC
rnacentral:siRNA from 1 species